GCAGAUUCGCCUUCUGGUGAUCCUGCCGGCGCCCACCGCUAUUGGAAUUCGAUUAAGACAUUUUGAUGUCUGGGUAGCCAAGGCUCGGCGGACCGCUCAGUCACUCGCGGGUAACAUGCCCUUGGGUGGGGGAUAACCUCGGGAAACUGAGAAUACCACCCAGUGAGAUCUAGAAAGCUGGAAUGCUUUUAGAUCGAAAACUCCGGUGCCCAAGGAUUGGUCUGCGGCGUAUCAGGUUGUAGUGGGUGUAACGGACCCCCUAGCCUAUGACGCGUAAGGGCCUUGAGAGAGGGAGCCCUGAGAUGGACUCUGAGACAUGAGUCCAGGCCCUACGGGGCGCAGCAGUCGCGAAAAACUUCACAAUGGGGGAAACCCCGAUUUAUGUAAAUUCCAAGUGCCAGCACAUUUGUGUUGCCUGUUCUCUGGUCUAAAAAAACCGGAGAAGUAAGGCCCGGGUAAG
rnacentral:rRNA from 1 species